rnacentral:rRNA from 2 species
UGGGGAAUAUUGGACAAUGGGGGGAACCCUGAUCCAGCCAUGCCGCGUGUGUGAAGAAGGCCUUUUGGUUGUAAAGCACUUUAAGCGAGGAGGAGGCUCCCUAGAUUAAUACUCUAGGUGAGUGGACGUUACUCGCAGAAUAAGCACCGGCUAACUCUGUGCCAGCAGCCGCGGUAAUACAGAGGGUGCGAGCGUUAAUCGGAUUUACUGGGCGUAAAGCGUGCGUAGGUGGUCUUUUAAGUCGGAUGUGAAAUCCCUGAGCUUAACUUAGGAAUUGCAUUCGAUACUGGGAGACUAGAGUAUGGGAGAGGAUGGUAGAAUUCCAGGUGUAGCGGUGAAAUGCGUAGAGAUCUGGAGGAAUACCGAUGGCGAAGGCAGCCAUCUGGCCUAAUACUGACACUGAGGCACGAAAGCAUGGGGAGCAAACAGG